UGAGGAAUAUUGGUCAAUGGGCGGGAGCCUGAACCAGCCAAGUCGCGUGAGGGAGGAAGGUCCUACGGAUUGUAAACCUCUUUAGCCGGGGAGCAACGUGCGCCACGUGUGGCGCAGUGAGAGUACCCGGAGAAUAAGCAUCGGCUAACUCCGUGCCAGCAGCCGCGGUAAUACGGAGGAUGCGAGCGUUAUCCGGAUUCAUUGGGUUUAAAGGGUGCGUAGGUUGCCGAUUAAGUCAGCGGUGAAAGUCAGUGGCUCAACCAUUGAACUGCCGUUGAAACUGGUUGGCUUGAGUACGUACGGGGCAGGCGGAAUGCGUGGUGUAGCGGUGAAAUGCAUAGAUAUCACGCAGAACCCCGAUCGCGAAGGCAGCCUGCCAGGCCGUGACUGACACUGAUGCACGAAAGCGUGGGUAUCGAACAGGAUUAGAUACCCUGGUAGU
rnacentral:rRNA from 1 species